AGCAGCCGCGGUAAUUCCAGCUCCAAUAGCGUAUAUUAAAGUUGUUGCAGUUAAAAGCUCGUAGUUGAAUUUCGGGAUCAGUAUGUUGGUCGUGCUUCGGUACGUACUGUCAUUACUGGUUUCUACCUUCUGAAGAACCUUGAUGUCAUUAAUUUGGUGUCUUGGGGAACCAGGACUGUUACUUUGAAAAAUUAGAGUGUUUAAAGCAAGCAUACGCUUGAAUACAUUAGCAUGGAAUAAUGAAAUAGGACGUUUGAUUCUAUUUUGUUGGUUUCUAGGAUCGACGUAAUGAUUAAUAGGGAUAGUUGGGGGCAUUAGUAUUCAAUUGUCAGAGGUGAAAUUCUUGGAUUUAUUGAAGACUAACUACUGCGAAAGCAUUUGCCAAGGAUGUUUUCAUUAAUCAAGAACGAAAGUUAGGGAUCGAAG
rnacentral:misc_RNA from 1 species